rnacentral:lncRNA from 1 species
AAACAACAUAGAAGAAAAAAAUAUCAAACCGUAGAUACAACCGAUCUGAUUCACAUUAUAAUAAACUCAGUUUUUCAUAAUUAUAAAUCCCACCCCAAGAUCUAUAUAUCAUCUGAGUUUCCUUUUUUUUUUUUUGUAUGAAAGUUGAAUACCAUGAAGAAAGAGGUCGAGAGGAAGAGAGAAAAACAACUCAGCACGAUCAAAUUAAGCACAUUACAAAUUACAUAUAUAUCGAAUAAACAUAGGAUGAUGAUGGAUGUUCAUGAUGAUGGCGAUGGAUUGGUUCAUACAGAGCUAGUUUCGGAGAGGCCAAACUCAAGUCCCCAAAGCUCAAAAGCACCCUUAAUAAAGUCAUAGUAGCCUCCCUUCAAAGCAAGUGUUCCCUUUACAAGUCCUUCCCUCACAAAUGGAUAUGUCAAUAAGUUUGCUAGUGAAACGUUCACUGCCUCCUGUAUAAAUUCAAACUUUAUAUUAAUAGAAUCUCAUUUUAAUAUAAGAUAUGCAUAUGUGGACAUCUAUCUAUACGUGUACCCUUUCACAUCGGCUGCAUUGGUCCUCAAAGGCUGAAUCUCCAACUUCUGAUUUGACCUUGGACUUGGCUGGUAAACAGAUUUUGACCCAGUCCUCUAUGAAAUCACUGUAAUUAACAUAGUUCAUUGAAAAAUCUCAUUUGAUAACAAAAAAACUGGUGUUAAAUAUAAAUAAAUUGAAUAUAUUAAAUAACUUAUAGGAAAAAAAACACACGAGAGCAGUUUCUCCCAGACGAGCUUUUCGAGAAAGGUCCCUGCAUUUACGAAGAGUCAACGUCUAACCUUUUAACCGUAUAUAUAUAUAUAUAUAUAUAAUAUUAUUUUAAAUUAUAUUUAUAAUAGUAUUAAUACCUAAAAUUAAAAAUAUAAAUCAUAUAUAUUUAGGUAUUUAUAGAUAAAAAUAGAUUUUUUGGAUAAAAACACUCAAAUAACAUUAUGUAUAUGGUUACUUUUAGACAAAAAAUAACAAAUUUAAACUAUAUAAAUUGAGUAUUUUUGGGAUUUUAAGUUAUUUUUGAUAAGUUCAGAUAAUUUGGAUAUAAAAUACCCGAAUCAAAUCGAGUAAUUUGGUUACUUCGGAUAAAAUCCGAACCCAUCCGGAUCCGGGAGGAUCCGACUCGAACCCGACCCGGUUUUUGUAAUACCCGAAUGAAACCAUCAAAAUCCAAAAAAAUCGAUACCCGAAUUGAUAGUAUCCAUAUCUGAAGGGGUAUCCGAACGCCCAUGCCUAAUCCAUACUCUUAGAAUCCUGAACUUGCAAACAAAUCAAGAGUUACAGAUAUGACAGGCUGUCCCCCUUUAUUAAAUACUAGUAUGGUUUAAUACUUCAACUGAUGGUGUUAAUUGUCUUGAUAUACUCCACUUCACAAACUUAAAUAAAAAGUUAAAGUUUCACUAACGUCGUUUUUCUAUAUCCUAAUAUGCAACUGCAUGUAUAUAUAAUCUAGUAGUGAAAAAACAAAAUAAAUAAAUAAAUUUAGUAGUGAAUAGUGAAUACACAAAAAAAAUAGUGUAAACAGAGAGAGGAGGGGGAGUAAACAUGCACUAGGAGGGAAAGACCAUGUAAUAGAUUUUAGUAUAUUGAUAGUAUUUAGAACUGGUUGGCAAUAAAAUUUGUCAGAAGUCUGUUUAACACGAGACGUUUUGAAGACGCCUUAUCUACGAUUCACUUCCUUCAGAUUUUUGUUUUAUUUUAUUUUAAAAUCUUGAAAAGAAAACAAAAAUUACUUAAUUGUAUAUUUUAGUUUUUAUUUUAUUUUUUCACCCUAAGGUUUCAAUUUUUUAUUUUACAUAAAAUGAAAAACCAGCUACAUGCAAUAUUCAUUUUUAAUUAUUAAAUAAAACGCGAAUGGUUAUUUCAUGAUGAGCGACAUGGAAACAACAAGAUGAUUGGUUGAAUGGGAUAAAGGCUUCAAAGAGUUCCUACAGCUUCCAAUGUAGUAUGGUAGCCACAUCUUUAACCUAUCAAACAACAUAGAAGAAAAAAAUAUCAAACCGUAGAUACAACCGAUCUGAUACACAUUAUAAUAAACUCAGUUUUUCAUAAUUAUAAAUCCCACCCCAAGAUCUAUAUAUCAUCUGAGUUUCCUUUUUUUUUUUUUGUAUGAAAGUUGAAUACCAUGAAGAAAGAGGUCGAGAGGAAGAGAGAAAAACAACUCAGCACGAUCAAAUUAAGCACAUUACAAAUUACAUAUAUAUCGAAUAAACAUAGGAUGAUGAUGGAUGUUCAUGAUGAUGGCGAUGGAUUGGUUCAUACAGAGCUAGUUUCGGAGAGGCCAAACUCAAGUCCCCAAAGCUCAAAAGCACCCUUAAUAAAGUC